UCACAUCCUGUGCGUCCCCGUUAAAACGUUCACGGUUUGCUUCUGCAUUUAUGGCACAUCUAGUGCAUCGAAAGAGCUGACAUGAUUACACUGAUAGUCAUCAAACUGAUCAUUCUGCACCAUGUCUCAGAAGCCAGUGAUGUUACACAGACGCCGAGAUUAUGGGUUGAACUGGGUAAAUCUGCAAAAAUGGACUGCAGCCAUACUAAGGGUGCACUAUAUUUCUACAUGUACUGGUUCCGGCAACGACAGGGAGAAACGAUGGAACUCAUUGCUUUUACAAUGACAAACAACAAGCCAGACUUUGGUGAUUAUUCUGAAGAUAAAUACUCAGCUGAAAAGCCUUCGGCGGAGACAGGGUCUUUCACGGUGAAGACGCUGCAGUCUGGUGACAGUGCUGUGUAUUUCUGUGCUGUGAGUGAACACAGUGACACAGACUGACUGCGCUGCUGUACAAAAACCUGAUG